UACGUAGGGUGCAAGCGUUAAUCGGAAUUACUGGGCGUAAAGCGUGCGCAGGCGGUUCUAUAAGACCGAUGUGAAAUCCCCGGGCUCAACCUGGGAAUUGCAUUUGUGACUGUAGAGCUAGAGUACGGUAGAGGGGGAUAGAAUUCCGCGUGUAGCAGUGAAAUGCGUAGAUAUGCGGAGGAACACCGAUGGCGAAGGCAAUCCCCUGGACCUGUACUGACGCUCAUGCACGAAAGCGUGGGGAGCAAACAGG
rnacentral:rRNA from 1 species